GACGAACGCUGGCGGCGUGCUUAACACAUGCAAGUCGAACGGAAAGGCCUGCUUUCCCUUGUGGAUUGCGGGUACUCGAGUGGCGAACGGGUGAGUAACACGUGAGUGAUCUGCCCCCAACUUGGGUAUAAGCCUGGGAAACUGGGUCUAAUUCCCGAUAGGACUGCAGGGUGGUGCCUGUGGUGGAAAACGAUUUUCUAGUGGUUGGGGAUGAGCUCGCGGCCUAUCAGCUUGUUGGUGGGGUAAUGGCCUACCAAGGCGGCGACGGGUAGCCGGCCUGAGAGGGUGGACGGCCACAUUGGGACUGAGAUACGGCCCAGACUCCUACGGGAGGCAGCAGUGGGGAAUAUUGCACAAUGGGCGGAAGCCUGAUGCAGCGACGCCGCGUGGGGGAUGACGGCCUUCGGGUUGUAAACUCCUUUCGACCGCGAGGAAGCCACCUGGUUGGAAGGGUGGUGACGGUAGUGGUAGAGGAAGCACCGGCCAACUACGUG
rnacentral:rRNA from 1 species